rnacentral:snoRNA from 1 species
AUUGGCCCACAUCGAAGCCUCAUUGUUUUUAUGUGAACAGUGGGGUUCAAAACUGAGCCUACAUCAUCAUCCCUAGACGGUCGCAGCUCAUGCUUGAAACGUGGGUUGCAUACACAAAUGGGGAUACAGCG